rnacentral:rRNA from 1 species
GACGAACGCUGGCGGCGUGCUUAACACAUGCAAGUCGAACGGAAAGGCCCCUUUGGGGGUACUCGAGUGGCGAACGGGUGAGUAACACGUGAGUAACCUGCCCUUGACUUCGGGAUAACUUCAGGAAACUGGGGCUAAUACCGGAUAGGAAUCCUUGCUGCAUGGUGGGGGUUGGAAAGCUUCGGCGGUUUUGGAUGGACUCGCGGCUUAUCAGCUUGUUGGUGGGGUAGUGGCCUACCAAGGCUUUGACGGGUAGCCGGCCUGAGAGGGCGACCGGCCACAUUGGGACUGAGAUACGGCCCAGACUCCUACGGGAGGCAGCAGUGGGGAAUAUUGCACAAUGGGCGGAAGCCUGAUGCAGCAACGCCGCGUGCGGGAUGACGGCCUUCGGGUUGUAAACCGCGUUCAGCAGGGGCGAAGCUUGUGGUGACGGUACCUGCAGAAGAAGCACCGGCUAACUACGUG